UGUCUCAGCCUCCCGAGUAACUGGAAUUACAGAGACAAAGUCUCACUCUAUCGCCAAGGAGUAUGAUGGGGCCGUCACACCGAAAGCCGAAAUUUUGCCGAAAGCCUGAGGGGGCAAAAGGAGAACUGAAAUCCACUCAGCAGAUAUUUCUACACUGGCCCUUCUGGCUCCUUCUCUUCUUAGCCUUCCACCUGUUGUUCUAGGUCCAGGCCCUGUCAUCAGAAUUCCUUAUUAUCUUCCCUGAGUUUAGGAAUCCUUUCCUAGUCCACGCUCCAGCCAGAGUGAGUAAAUCCAAGGGACACCUCCAUAAUUUCCUCAGAGAUGUCUCCUCCCUGCUCUCAGGGAGCACAGUUAUGAAGUGUCUCAUCAGCACCUGCGUGGGGCAUCAGCACAGGAAGUGCCUCCUAGACACGUGCUGAUGGAGAAAUGCAAGGCUGUUUCAGUCCCCUGGGCCCAGGGUUUCUUCCUUCCAGAUAAGGGCUUUCAUUUUUAUCUUGGAAAACAGAACACCCUGUAAAGUGUGUCCCUAAAUAAAAAAGCAAUCUUAGCCCAAAGGGUAACUCUAGCGUCACCCAAGAAGAGGUCUGAACUGGAAAACCCCUUUUAAAUAAGCAUCCCUCCAUUCCCUGCAGAAUGCAUAGGAACAGCUGUAAUAACUGAGCAAUACAUUCGUGGCGUAUAAUUACAAAA